rnacentral:lncRNA from 1 species
GGUGAGUUUGUUCUAUUGGUUUGUUAGCAGUUUUUUGGAAGAAAAGGCCAAGGAUAUGUAUGUGUAUCAAUGAGAUUUUCUGGUUUGGUUGGUGGUUUUGGUAAAUGCAAAUGGGAUAUGAAACUAGGCAUGGCCAAGCUUUUUGCUCAUUGAGUUUUUGGGACAGGUUUGUGAAGAAAUGGCCAAAACGCAGUUAGGUGGUUUUAGAGAUUGUAGGAAAUUGGUUAGAUUUUGUUGGUUAAUGCAAGUGGGAUGAGCUUGUAUGAAUGAGGUUAGGUCAUGUUGGUUUGAUGAUGUUUGGUCAACUUGUGCUUGGACAGCUUUUAGAAAAUGCAAGGCAGGUUAGGUUUAGUUAUGUUGGCAAAGUUUAGAAGUGAUGCAAAAUAGAGGUGAACCAAACUGUCAUGGUUGGCAAGGCAAUGUUUUGAGUUGGACAGGAAGAAAUGGGAAUGCAAUACCAGCAAGUUAGGUUUUUUUGGUCCACUUGUUUUGGACAGAAAGAGUGAUAUGCCAAGGCCAAGGUUAAAAAUGAGGGAGUAGGUGAAGGGGUUUGGAAUGGAUGAGGUUUUGGCAGAAAAUACACAAGCAAGGUGAGGUGAAUCAAAAAAAUCUGCUGCAGUGCUAUGUUGCUUGUUGUGGUCAUGAAUUUUGAC